GCUACGCUUUUGCACCCUGCUCUAGGAGGAGGAGGAGGUGGAUGUGGAGUAGGAGAUUGAGGAGCCGGUGACCUGGCAGCGAUGACGCAUUCGGAUGUCUGCCCUAUCAACUUUCGAUGUUACUUUCUGCGCCUACCAUGGUGACCACGGGUAACGGGGAAUCAGGGCUCGAUUCCGGAGAGGGAGCCUGAGAAACGACUACCACAUCCAAGGAAGGCUGCAGAGGCGCAAAUUACCCACUCCUGACUCUUUACAGGCCCUGUA